UUCCUGGUGGCUCAGAUGGUAAAGAAUCUGCCUGCAGUGCAGGAUAUCCAGGUUCGAUCUCUGGGUUAGGAAG
rnacentral:tRNA from 1 species